rnacentral:rRNA from 1 species
GUCUUAUUGAUAAUAAUUUUAAGUCUAAUCUGCCCAAUGAAUUAUUAAAUGGCUGCAGUAUUUUAACUGUACAAAGGUAGCAUAAUAAUUAGUUUUUUAAUUAAAGACUGGAAUGAAUGAUUUGAUGAGAUAAUAGCUGUCUUAAUUUAAAUAAAAGAAUUUUAUUUUUAAGUUAAAAAGCUUAGAUAAUUUUAAAAGACGAGAAGACCCUAUAGAAUUUUAUAUGUAUAUUUUUUAUUAUUAUUAGAAUUUAUGAUAUAUUAAAUAUAUGUAUUUAAUUGGGGUGAUUUAAAAAUUAAAAUAACUUUUUAUUAAAUUUAUUCAUUAGUUUAUGAAUGGUUGAUCCAGUAUUAUUGAUUAUAAGAUUAAAUUACCUUAGGGAUAACAGCGUAAUUUUUUUGGAAAGUUCUAAUUGAUAAAAAAGAUUGCGACCUCGAUGUUGGAUUAAAGUUAAUAUUUGGUGUAGAAGCUACUAUAUUAGGUCUGUUCGACCUUUAAAACUUUACA